rnacentral:lncRNA from 1 species
GACUGUUGUCCUUGGGGCUCUUCCUCAGACAUACUCUUCAAAUUGGUUGAGGUACCGAGAUGGACUCAAACAACGAACCUCAUCCAGACGUUCUAGUAAUAGAGCGGACAGCUUCAUCAGACCCCAUUCUCGGACUCCAUCCUCGACUUCAUGCUAAGGACAUAAACAUGGACACCAACUCACUACCAUUAACUUUGUAAGCGACCUAGCACCAAUGACUGCUGUUGAUGACUUGUCAAGACCACCUG